GAUGAAGAACGCAGCGAAAUGCGAUAAGUAAUGUGAAUUGCAGAAUUCAGUGAAUCAUCGAAUCUUUGAACGCACAUUGCGCCCGCCAGUAUUCUGGCGGACAUGCCUGUCCGAGCGUCAUUUCAACCAUCAAGCCCCGGGCUUGUGUUGGGGACCUGCGUCCGACGCAGGCCCUGAAAACCAGUGGCGGGCUCGCUGUCCACACCGAGCGUAGUAACUAACCUCGCUAUGGAGUGGCGCGGGCGCCUGCCGUAAAACCCCCAAUUUCACAAGGUUGACCUCGGAUCAGGUAGGAAUACCCGCUGAACUUAAGCAUAUCAAUAAGCGGAGGA
rnacentral:misc_RNA from 1 species